UACGAAGGGGGCUAGCGUUGCUCGGAAUCACUGGGCGUAAAGCGCACGUAGGCGGAUUGUUAAGUCAGGGGUGAAAUCCUGGAGCUCAACUCCAGAACUGCCUUUGAUACUGGCGAUCUCGAGUCCGGGAGAGGUGAGUGGGACUGCGAGUGUAGAGGUGAAAUUCGUAGAUAUUCGCAAGAACACCAGUGGCGAAGGCGGCUCACUGGCCCGGUACUGACGCUGAGGUGCGAAAGCGUGGGGAGCAAACAGG
rnacentral:rRNA from 1 species